rnacentral:lncRNA from 1 species
AGACUCUACAUGUUUAUGGUUAGUGAAGGAAGGUUUAUGUUAUGAUCAUGGAAACCGUAAAGGAGUGAUCUAAAUCAUUGGCGUCGCUACUCUGCUGUGUGAACAUGCUUUGGUCUUUGUUGCUCGACCUUGUUCAAAAAUAACUUCCUGUUCCUUUAAGGGAUCUCUCCAAAAAGUUACCGUAGUGACGUUGCGUAUAUUCCAUAUUCAGAGAAAGUCCAGUGGCGGAGUGUGGAAUCUCCUACUGCGAGAGCAGUCUCCUCUGGGUGCUGAGCCAAAAGCAGAACAUCUUUUCAUCAUGAACACAGACAAAGAUCCUGAAUUUACCGCCCCAGAGGGAAACAGGAUGGACAUCUGUAGUGAUGUCGCAGACGCGAAGCCACAGGAGGAGGAAGAAGAGAGGGAAGAUAACUUAUUCAGUGAGAAUGGAAUGCAGUGUGCUGAAAGUGUAACGGACCCACGUACGUACCACCCCCCCCCACACACACACACACACACACACACACACACACACACACACACACACACA